rnacentral:rRNA from 1 species
CAGGCCUAACACAUGCAAGUCGAACGCACCUUCGGGUGAGUGGCAGACGGGUGAGUAACACGUGGGAACGUACCCUUUGGUCUGGAAUAACUCUGGGAAACUAGAGCUAAUACCGGAUACGCCCUUUUGGGGAAAGGUUUACUGCCGAAGGAUCGGCCCGCGUCUGAUUAGCUAGUUGGUGGGGUAACGGCCUACCAAGGCGACGAUCAGUAGCUGGUCUGAGAGGAUGAUCAGCCACACUGGGACUGAGACACGGCCCAGACUCCUACGGGAGGCAGCAGUGGGGAAUAUUGGACAAUGGGCGCAAGCCUGAUCCAGCCAUGCCGCGUGAGUGAUGAAGGCCUUAGGGUUGUAAAGCUCUUUUGUCCGGGACGAUAAUGACGGUACCGGAAGAAUAAGCCCCGGCUAACUUCGUGCCAGCAGCCGCGGUAAU